GGACGAUAUAUCCGGGGAACCGGUAGUGCCGGAUAUCCGGGGCUAGAAUUCCUCAUCCGUCGGCGUGUCAUUGUUUACAGUCCGACGAGAACUUUAAACAAAUCCAAUAGUAUCCAGCUGCAGCCCCGGAGAACACCCUGGCAUGACAGAACACCACCCAGGCGGGACAGAAGUACUGUGGCUGGACGGAAGUUACCUCCGAUUAUUUUUUCUAUAGACAAAUAAACUUAUUUAUCGCUUGAAUUAACAAAACAUAGAAAUAAAAAAAUAUUUCGACACGUUAGUAACCAUUUUAGAGCUUAAAAAAGGUUUAACGUUAUUUAGACAAAUACCUCAGGAUUUUUUCUUAUUAGACCAAAAAAAUAGAAUAAAACAAUGUUAUGACAUGUCAGUAAGCUUUUUUUAUAACUUAAUUUUGUUAACGUUAUUUAGACGAAUAAACUGAUUUAGGGUGUAGACAAUUAUUUUAUGGAAUUGUGUAUUAUACACUUUACUCAUUAAGUAAUUGACCAUUAGAAUUAAGUAAUUUUUUUUAAUAUGUCUAAUAGAAUCAAAUUUUUUUUUUUGUAAAGUAUAUCAUCAUAAUUUGAUAUAAAUAUACAUUGAAGAAUAACCACACCAAAGUUUCCUCACAAUUUAUUUAACAAAUAAUCUACAGAAUCCUAAAGAUAUAGCUUCUUCAUGAACUGCCAUCAGCUCCAAAUCACUGUCAAAAGAAUCAAACAGUCAAAUCAAUAUUAAGCCUAAACAAUAUAUUAUUUGUAUUCUGUCACUGGAAACGUUAUUCACUUCUCUUUUUCGCCUCAGUCUGAAGACUGGUGGAAGUAGUCCAGCCGCCAUUUGUUUGGCCUCCUCCAUGAAGUGUGGGAACCUUCUGCAGUGCCUGUAUAAAUAAAGAGAAAUGAUUGUAGGAAUUAUACAUAUUUUGUUAAUAUUGGGGUUGAGGUAUAUAUUCAUAUUUGAAAUAAACAAAAACAUACCCAUCCAGAUGGAAGUUCUCAAGCAGUACUGUGCACCACCAUUUUCUGAGGACAGGCAUGUCUUUCUAAAGUAAGGGGAUAUUCCAAGAAUUGACAAUGAUAAAAUAUGUAUACAAGUAUGCAUUUUUCGAUAUUGUUACAAUAUCGAAAAAAGAAUGGAAAUUUCCAAUCCAAUUCUUAUUUUAAACGUAUCUUUUCAAUCGUCAGCUCUUUUUUCAUUUAAUGUAAUGGCUACUUACAACAGUCAAGUCAAACGGUGCCUCCUUGGCAAGGUACCAAGCAUACUGGGAUGGAAAAAUGUAAUUGGUGACAACAUUCACACGUGUUGUUAUAGUGCUGACUGUUUUGAUGCUCGUCUUUGUAGUCCUUUGCAUAACCUGACCUUCUUUUCUCAUAUUACUAUUCAGAUGUAAAGCCGUUCCGCCGAAUUCAACAACCGUAGAAACAGAGGAAAGGACACAACAUUAUCGAGACCAAUCUCAUGGGCCCUGAUGAACCGGUGAAACGGAUAAGUCUGAUGAAUUUAACCACGGGUCGAACCAAUGAUGGGGCAAGAGUGGUGUUUUUUGUUUUUUUAAACAUAAGGGGUAACGCUGUCUUCUUUUUUAUCGGGCUUAAUGAAAAAAACA
ensembl:lncRNA